CUUAGUUGAGUUGAGUUGAGUUUAGUUGAUAUGUGUCACCAAACAAAGAUUAGUAAGUGUUGUAUCUUUUUAUCCAUGUUUUUCCUUUCCUUAACAAUGUUUCAUCAACAAGUACCCUGCCAAGAGUAUGCCUGUUGUGGGCUUGGUUCUUCUAGUGUCCUAAGGAUAUUUCAGGAUUCAUUUAUCUCAGUGAAAGAUCAUAACUGUAAUUUAUUAAAUUAGUUGUCUAUCACAGUGAAAACUUAGCAACUUGUUAUUAAUGUGACAAUUUUCUCUUUAAAGAAAAUGAUGGUGAUGGAACAGAGACUCUAAACAUUUGAUGCAUUUUGAGACGAAUUCAUGAUCUCUGGGAAGUAAAUAAUUUUCAGCUUUUCCUAAUCAUUUUCAUACGUGACUUGGGGUUGGUUCAAGCUUAUGAAUGACAUCAUGCUUUUAAAAUUGCUACCUUGUGUCACUGAGGGAAACCUAAUUUCUGCAUGCUGGAAAUUUUUUUGUAAAGAAAUUAGAAAGAAAAAAACUUGUUUAUUUCCAAAACCUGCAAUGUGGGAAGCCCCAUGCAUUGAGACAACCUAAUAUAUUGUUUUGCUAAUACUUCAACAAAAUUAUAUUUUUUCUUUACCAUCUUUAUUUUUUGAGCUUCGUUCUACUGUCUGUCAUGAAUACCAU
rnacentral:misc_RNA from 1 species